AUGGACGACAAUUUCAAACAUCACAUUUCUUUCCCUUUUUCUCUUUUCAUGGUUUCACCUCUGAUGUCUGAGCAUGCAUUAACAAUAACAAUAUCUUUUCAUUUCCACCUAGCUGCUCUUCCAGCACUUCCACAGAACACAAACGGUGCUGAAAGCCUUGCAAAUGCAACAGAGAAAGGAGCUGUAGGAAGCCAAGAUCUGCUGAAGCUAAUUGGUAGUAAGAUGGGCCUUUAUGCUUCUCAGUUACCCUCCUGGUACACAUGGCUUUGCAACACAGAACAGAUGAAACAGCAGGUACUGAUGCAUACCCCAUUGCAGUGGCCACAGCAGAUCUAGGGGACACUAUUCCAGAGGGAGUGCCACUGCACCGGUUUGGCACGGAGAACCUCAACAGCUUAUGGUGAUGCUCAAGAUGCAUGAGCCCGGGAGUGAAAGUAGGGACACUCAAGGGAAGUGGAAGAAGAGACAUCUGGCAUGAUUUGGCUUAAUUUAUAGGACCAGAGUUCUACUGUGUAUUUGCUGAUAAAUAUAACAUACUUGAUCAGGAAGAAUGAAAAGCUGUCUGAUAAUACUGGACUUGUGUUCAGUUUUCAGACUUGGAUCUUAUCAUAACAUGGGCUUCCAAACAAAUCUUUGUAAGAAAGAGGCACAGGAGAGAAACUCUCUGUAAUAUCCACUGCAACUGUUGGCAGUGCGAGGGUAAACUGUAGUUAGACAGUAUUAAAAAGCAGUAGCAUUUUAUAGUAUUUCCGGAUAUAUCCUGCAAUAUCUGCUUCCCAUUUUCAACAGCUUCCGAACCUCUCCUUCUUCCCUUUGAGCUAUCAGGGAUGUUAGCAAGAGUCUUUUCCACUCCCUGCUUUAACUGACUUUUCCAAUUAGGAGCUCUGGAUGAAAAGACCUGAGAAACAGCCCAGCAACUGCAAGUGACAUAAGUCUGAUGCAUGCAGGGCAUGCUCUGCCCUCCCUUGCUGAAAGCUACAAGUGACUCAGCAUUAGCUCAGUAAUUGCUCUCCAGGGAAUUUGAGACAUGCCACUUCCAUGCAUUCCUGCCUACUUCAGCGUGAGGAGGAAUCAGAGACAAAGAACACUCAAACAUUGCCCUACCUCUGAUAAAUAUACACCUCCCAACAGCUAAUGAAUAAGACAUCUGUCAAGCUUUGUCUUGUGAUCCUCAUCUAUGGACACAAUCAAGGAGAAGCCAGUAGCAAAAUAUAGUAUUUUUUUUGUGUGUGUGUUUAAUAGCUGCUGCCUGUGCCACGAAGACACAGCAUUUCAUUAAGCACAGGGUAAUAGCCUGAUUCCCUUGGAGACUUACUGCUGGAAAACAGAACAUCUCCAUUCAUAAACAGGCAAGGUCACCAUGCACCACACACUCCUCAACGCACACAUUCAUUUUGGAAUUAAUGCUGAGAUAACUAAGGAUCUGCUCAUUAUACAUUUCAUAUUAAUGCAAUAACACAACUUCAUGUAGACCUAAUUUUACAAGAUCUGAGAAAAAUGGUAUUAUGUUACAUUUUGAUGCCAUCUGUUCAUCUACUCCAGAAUACAUUGCAAAAAAAAUCUGAUUUCUAAUCAUUUUAAUAUAUAAUUUUACUCUUCAUGUCUGAUUUAGAAUUUGAACAAUUCCAGACAAGAAACAUUUUAAAAGAACACACUAAGGUAUUUGGUUCCUUCACAUUGCAUCACACUUUCAUUACUUACGAUUGUUUUUUUUAUUCAGCAGGAGUUAUCUUCCACCAUAUGCACAUGUACAUACUAUGAAAAAGACAGUUUCACAAGUGUAAUGCCUCAAAGUUUAAACCCCUAUAGACAUAAUACAUUUUUUUUUUUCCACAGAUUGUGCUAAGAGAUAUAUGAAGAGAAAUAAAAAAUGAUAGGCAAUUUCUUUCA
ensembl:lncRNA